UCUUGGUCAUUUAGAGGAAGUAAAAGUCGUAACAAGGUUUCCGUAGGUGAACCUGCGGAAGGAUCAUUAUUGAAUAAAAACUUGAGCAGGCUGUCUGCUGGCCCCUUGGGGUAUGUGCACGCUUGUUCUCUGUUAUUUCUCCAACUUGUGCACAUUUUGUAGACCCUGGAGCCUUGUGGAUUUUAAUAUUCCGAGUCGGGACUGCUGUGCUUCCUCUUUGUGAAGUCGGCUUUGCCUUGCAUCUCCAGGUCUAUGUCAUUUAUUUUCACAACCAUGUUUAGAAUGUUGGGAUCAGGUCUUUUUGUACCUAUAGAAAUGAAAUAUACAACUUUCAGCAACGGAUCUCUUGGCUCUCGCAUCGAUGAAGAACGCAGCGAGAUGCGAUAAGUAAUGUGAAUUGCAGAAUUCAGUGAAUCAUCGAAUCUUUGAACGCAUCUUGCGCUCCUUGGUAUUCCGAGGAGCAUGCCUGUUUGAGUGUCAUUCAACUUCUCAACCACAUUCGUUCAUUUGAUUGUGGCUUGGAUGAUGGGGGUUUUUGUUUGCAGGCUUCUUAAUUAAUCUGAGAGGUCGGCUCCCCUGAAAUGUAUCAGUGGUAUCUGAGGCUAUUGCUAUAGGUGUGAUAAUUAUCUAUGCCCUUGGUUGUGCCGCAUGGAACUGCUUCCAACAAAGAUGAUCUUUUUGAUGAAUUUGACCUCAAAUCAGGUAGGACUACCCGCUGAACUUAAGCAUAUCAAUAAGCGGAGGA
rnacentral:rRNA from 1 species